UUUUUGUUUUUUUUGUCCAAGGCAUUUUGCCUUUUAGUUUGUCUAAGCCCGACUUCAUUCACAUGGUCUGGAAUUCUAUGCCUUUUUCUCUCAGUCUCUCAGCUCAACUGAUCUCAAACUGGGCAUCUGUCAAGUCUCUAGCAAAACCGCGGCCAGCGACCACAGAGCACCCGCGACCGAUUAUCUGCGAGGCCGUACCGGAACCCUAAUCUGCGCGGAGUUGCAUUUCAAGAAAACCCUAAUUUCAGCAGCGGCGGUGCAUUUGAAGAAAACCCUGAUAGCCCAUCUAACAAUCGUAUGAGAAGAACCCAUUGAAGGAAGACAAUCGUUUGAGAAGAACCCAUUGAAGGAAGUAGAGGUACGAGUAGAUCUAGAGGAAGGUCCAACAGAUCUUAGAUCAAAAAUUUGGGGGAUUAAUUUGAAGAAUAAGAAGAAAUUGGGGCUGAUUUUCUGGAGGGCUUGAAGUCGUAAGCAAACAAGAAAAACAGAAAGCUUUCGUCUCCGACCUAACAACAUCAGAGCUUUCAACUCCAGAGGCCGAUUAUCAACUCAACACAGUUUUGUUGCUCUGUAAGUCGUCCCUUUUUGUUUCCAUUUUGGAUUAGCUCAUCUUCUCUACUACUCGCAACUAGUGGGAUUCCCGAGAAAAAGUCAAAUCAUAGCUUGGCGUGAUUCAAUUGUUUAUAUUGGAUUGGAUUGCAUAGGUUGAGAUAGAGCCUAAUUGAAAUCAGUAAUGUUAACUGAAGUGAAAUUCUUUUCCUUUAAACUUGAAUAAUAAGAUAGAUGGAAUGAUUAGAUUUUAGAGUUUGUGCGAGUUGUUAUGGUUUGUGGUUUAUCUGUGACUUUGGUUUGUUUGGUGGCUAAGAAAUUAAGGAAUAUGAAAAACGUUGUAAAUUCCUUCUCUUUAUUGUAGUAGAUGAUGGUUGUCAGUAGAAGGUGCUUAAUAUUUCAAUGAGGCUCCAUUGAGAUAAGUUUUGACAUUAAGAUUUCGUAGGUCUUUUUUUAGGUGCUUAAUAUAUACCGAUCCCGUGGUAUAUACAUUCCAUUCAUCUCUCUUGCAGCAUAUACCUCUGAAUGAGCAUAAGAAAACAUGUCAUACCUACUAAGAAAAUCUUAGAGAGAGAGAGAGAGAGAACAGUCAAUGAUGUAAUGAGUUAAAAACCUUGCUUGAGACGAUCAAUUUCAGUAUAUAAAUCCUUGAUCAAAGCUGAUUUCAUUAUCUUUUGAUUAACCUAGACCAAUAAGCAACAAGAAAGCAUUGGAAAGACAACAACAAUAGUUAAUCCAACCCUACAAUUUGUGAGAACAGUUGAGUUGCCUUCUGACCUCCGGUUCAUUCUUUAUAUUCUUGGCACGGUGUGCAUAGUCCAAGGUGCUGAGUGUUUCUUCCAAACAAGGGAUGGAGGGUGAUAUGGUAGCUAUUAUUCAUGUCUUUGUUUUCCCUCCUAAGGAGUCCCUCAGUAAUCUUGUUAGUUUACUAUCCCUGAUAUUCAACAAUGUCAUAGUAAUGAACUUACUUUCUGGGGCUUGCAAAUACAGUCAAAACCUGAGGCAGUUGUUAACAAUAUAUAAAUAGUACCUAUAUGGAAUAUGACCAGAGUGCUCAACUAGAGUAUUUAUAUCUGAUGUUAUUUUAGUGUUCAGCUUCUAAAAGUUCUAGAGAUGCGCAAAAAAAUGCUGCAGAAAGAGCAAGGUAUGGCUUUUACUCGUGCUGUAGCAGUAGGUUUUGAUGUUGAUCAUUUGCCACCAUUAAUAUCAUUUGCUGAAUGCUUUGGGGCUUCAUGCUUGAUGGAUGCUCGUAGAAGAUAUAAUGAACUGUGGAAACGAAAGCAUGAGACUGGCCAAUGGCUUGAAAUUGAAGCAGCUAAAGCAAUGUCUAACCGAGCAGGCUUCUCUGCCAUGAAUGCAUCGGGCAUAGUGCUUUUAAAUAUGACCACCAAGCCAAAUGAGUUGGCAGAGAAUAAUGGAAAAGCUACUUAUGCAGGUAAGACUUCAAUUUCUAGGAGGGUGUCCUAGAAAUAGGUUACUAACCUAGUACAAUUACUUCUCUCAAGAAGUGUCAUGAUUUAACACUUUCCCAUUACCUCUGGAGUGUUAAUUAGUUAGACUGGCCAUCAUUUUUCAGUUUUAUACUCCUGAUCAUAAAAGUCAUCUAAAUAGUUCUGCAAUUAUUUAAUUGUUGUUUCGGUUUCUAUUUUGAGCUCUUGAAAUUUUGAUUGGCAAUGCAUUUUUUUUUCUUUUCUAUUGAGCAUAUUUUCCGAUUUGUUUACCUAUAUUCAGUUUAGUUUUGGGAAGCAUCUAUAAGAGCAAUAGUUGUAUGGAACAUUAUGCUUUAAUGGGUGGCACAGAUUUGUUGCAUUUUGAGCUAUGAACAAGAGUGCUGUUUUAGCUGAUAUACGGUUCUACAAGGUCGUAGAAAAUAAGACUGGUCUGGUUUCAAGUUCGCUCUAGCAGGUCACACCUUUGUUUUUCAACUGAUCUUUCUUAUGACCGCAAUCAUGUUAUUAAGAUGCAUUUGCUUGUAUGAGAUUAACAUUUUGGCAUAGUGCUUUUUGUAAUCACAAGGCAAAGUAGUAAUUGAAGUGAUUGUAAAAAGCUGGUGGUGGUGGGACUUUGAGUUGUUUGGAAUUUGGAGUGCUCAGCCAAUUGACAAAUGAUCCUAAUUCCUCACUUGAGACCUGCUGAACAUAAGAGAACUGGUAAUGCAGCAGAAGUGUUAUGUUCUAUAUUGGGCAAAAGGCAGAAAUAUACAUAAAGAGAGAGAACUGGUAAGCAACAAAAGUUUAGCAUUCUAGCAGACUAAGGAGGCCAAGCCACAGGAGGAAAAACAAAUGUCCAAGUGCUAGAGUACAUUGAAAUUAUUUGCUAUCCAGCUUCAAUAGUUAGAUUUCAUGGAACAAUUAAUGACUAUUGUAAAUGUAUUUUGGUGGCUGUAAUAACAGAAUAUAUGUAUUUUUAAUGAGUGAAAUGACUUUUGGGGUUUUCAGAAUGAAUGAGAACAUCAAUGAA